rnacentral:lncRNA from 1 species
ACGAACUCUUGAGUAGGGCGAAGGGAUUUGGUGCAGACUUCUCGUGGGGGAAACUGAGUUCGCAAGUAGCGACUGCAGUUUCUCAGAAGACUGAGGACAAACCAAAAACACAAAUUGCCACCAUCAGAGGCCAGGCCAAGGCUCGAAAUCUGCCCCCACAGAAGGCAGUCAUAAAGCAACCAGCACAGAAACCAAAACCUAAGCAGCCAGAUGGCCCCGAAAAAAAACCAGAGGUGAGGAACGUGUUUGGUGGCCUUUUUAAGCAAGAAACAAUUUACAUGGAUGAUGACUGAGUCUCGCAGAGUUUUUGUUCAGAAUUGCAUGGCAUGCGUCUUUUGAAACUAUUGAGGGACUUGUUGAAAGCCUAUUAACAUCCUUUUCUUUUCCUUUUUUUUCUUGAAUUGAAGAUCUUCCUCGAAAACUGUGUAAAAUGAAUUAUUUCUUGCCCACCAGCUUUCUCGACCAACUUUAACACUUAAAAAAAAUUUAAAAUGUGUUAAUGAAUAUUUAAAGCAUGCAUUAUAGAUCUUAUAAUUUUCAUUCAUGUCUUAGCACGUCAGGUUGGGCAAAGUGUUUUUCCUGGAUGGCACAUUUCAUGUAGUAUAGUAUCGUUAAUUAGCCAAGAGCGUGCGUGCUGCGACACUUGGAUCUUGGGCUCGUCGCCCAUGGUUUACUCUAGUUACUUUGGGCCAAGCAUGGGCCUGCCCCAAGUGAGGAUCGGUGCACGCGCGAGUCGAAGAGUUUUGGUCCGCAGGGACACGUCCGUCACGGUCAUCCCGGGCUUGGCUCGCGCACGAGACAGUAGCCGUUGGCUUUGAACUGGGGAGGAGCAGGCCAGUCAAGUUGGGCUCUGGGCCGGGCUAUCAGUGGUCAUGUGUGCGAAGUGAGUCUAGUUUAUUGGCGGCCGGGCCCAAGAAAGUUCUUCAUGGCGCCACCCCCGGGGGGAUCGGUAGGUAGGAUGAUAAACGGGGCCUCUUUGUGGUGAUCGGUAGGAUGGUAUAUAGGGCCCUAUUUGUCACUCUACUGCAUUAAUCCUCGACUUGUAUGAAUAGAAUGGUGCUAGGAAGCAGCACUCAAGCGUCGGAGAAACAGACUGUGAGGGUGACGUCUAGGGGAACACCUCCCAAUUCCCAAACAGGAGGACGGUUGCAGCCACUAGACUAUCAAACAGUGUUAAUAUCCAAAUCCUACCGGAUGAUGGUAGAGGCCAGGGACGAGAAUGUUGAUUGGUCUGCCACGGUGGAAGAUGGAGCAACCAUCUACCGUAGAGAUCAACCGAUAUGCAUACAAAAAGAAGAUUAGCUCUAGUCGGAUCCUCCAACGCUUAGGAGUCCCAUCGAAGUUGGACUUUUUAGAGUCCGAAUUGUACUACCUUUCAACGUUUCUUAGAAAUUGGCUUCCUGUCAGGCUAUAUGUCGGCCCAUAAUAAGUAGGAUAGAUUUAGGCGACAUGGACAAGUGGUCCGGUUUAUUUCACAACGAUUGCAAAUAGCGCUGCAAAGAAAAAACAAGGCGUUUCUUUCGUCCUUUCCAGGCGCUUGGAAAAUAAAGAAAUUGUCGAUAUAUUUAAGGCGGAUACGUCGCUUGAACCUGCUUGGAUCACAGUUAGACAGAUAGAAGCGGGGCGGAGAGCAAUGACACGAUAUGCGUGUCGUGGUGGAAAAAUAUAGGUAUGUAUAUUUCCCGCAUCCUCAGGGGAGACCGAGAUACACGGUCAUCUUCAAUGAUCAAAGAGUCAUCCACGAACAGCAUGAAAUUUCUCCAGAAGCAUCUCAGGCAAUCAGCCAAGCACCGUGACUCUUUGAUCAUUGCCCAUCUUUUCAGCGCCAGUUGGAAAAGGUCCACAUCUUUGUCCAUCGCACUGAUGGAGAAGCAACCCAUCGGAAGUCGAUGGCCAGAGUAACUCAUUACCUAAUUAGCUCUAUUUUCCUUAUCCUCUAUUCCAUCCCUAGCCAACUCGGGUCAAAAACCCUACCAUCCCCCGAGGUCAAGUUGCAGCCGCUCUUUCAAACUGCGCUGCAAAGUCAUUAUCGCCCACUUGAAAAAACGACAAUUUUCCCUUGAAAUCGUGCACGCUGGGGGAACAAACCAUUGAAUAAGUUAGGCAGGACUGGCCCAUGGGGAAGAAGAAAGAAAGCUUGAUAGCUUGACAUCCGCCAGGUCGCUACACGCACGUGGGAUAGCAUGGGAUUGGGCCUAGCGACACAGUUCCUCCCUUGGAUGGACCAUCGAGCCUAUCCAGCAUCCACCAAACUUCAUGUUUUGAUUCCUCACGAGGGAAGUUUCCUUCAUUGAUAAAAUACGAACCAUUCAAAUCGAAGAGCUGGCACGGAACCUCUCGAUCUAUGCUUUUGAAUAGACACUUGUCGACAAGUAUACUAUAAACAGAUGGUAUCGGCUCUCUAUUUGUUUGCCAGUGAAAGAAAGCAAGUACAUACGUAAUGAUUGUUUCUGGAUUUUUAAAAGAAGAGGAAUCGUUGAUGAGCUCAUGCUUUUAUUUUUUUAUUUUCAUAAUCUUAUCUGAAACAAGAAGGUAAAAAUUAAGGAACACGGGCUAAUUUUAAACUGCACAUACUUCUAUUUCUAUUUUUUUUUGGUUUGGAGAUGAAAGGAUCCACACCCACGAAUAGCCAAAGGUAAAUAUUUAACUGCUACUUUGUCUUAUCGCAGAAAGGUGCUUCAAAACUAAAGUUCUAUGUAGACCAAAGCGGUCGGGAUGAGUUUUGACUUUCUGUAAAUGGUUGCUUAUUGUCAAUAUGAUCUCUUUGAUUAAAAUUCAAAAGAUAAAUGCAGCAAUUAGAAUUGCUUGUAGAUGAUGUACGAAUCGGUCUCUUGAUUAAGAUUGAAGAAGACGAGGGCUCAAUAAUUGUUCUAUUCUGGUUAAUUGCUAAUAUGAUCCUCGACCUCAAGCUUAUGAAUUCAAUAUAUGUCAUGUAAAUUGUUGCCCCGCAAACUAGGCAACGGCCUAUGUUUUACUAAAUUAAAUUAUGAGAGGCUAAUCAAAGAUAAUUUUUAGAGCCAGUAAAUCGCAUGAAAGAAUGGUUCUCGAUGCUUGGAAAGAAGGUUUGUUACACAUUUCAUUGUCUAUCUUCCUUAUCUACAGGAAAAAUGAUGACAGAAAUGCAAAGCGUUCACAUGCUGAAUAAAGGUGACUGCUUCAAACAUACUCAUCUGAGCUGAAGCGACGUUUGGACAAGAAAUGUGAGGAAAUAUGAUAUGCUGAAUUGAGAUUUCUGAUUAAACCAAAAACAUAUCUAUCUAUAAAACAAAUGCACAUGUUCCUGAUGCCAAACAAUAAUAAAGGUGGUCACAUAUUUCUGAAACAUUUCCAAUGCAAGACCAUUAAGAUCUAAUAAGUCUCUUAGAAGUUGAAAAAACUGCUUCAGCUAGAUAAUAUGCUAACUUAAACAAGCGAGAGAUUUCGAAGGCAUCAGUCGACUGAUGAACUAUCAAGGCAAGUUAAUUGUUAACUACAUGUAGUUUAACACAACUGCAGCAAAAUGGUUUACAUAAUUGAUACAUAAAGAUGCAGUGAUGAAGAUCGUAUACAAGUCAGAGGAUAUAUACCAAGUUCUAUAUGACUGUGGUCGACAUAUAUAUAGGAUUUCACUGAGCUACAGCAAUAUUUUUCUGGAUGGGCAUCAAGAAAGUAUUUUCAACAUAUCAAAGUAUUACAAACCCAAGGAUGACUUCACAACCAGGAGAGCUUGAUGCAAUAACCAAAAUCUCUGGUUGAUACUGUGUCUAUCAGAUUAUGAGUGAAUUGGGUUUGGUAAGUCCAUUAGACUGGUUUGAAUCAUGCACAGAUUUACUUAAAUUGACAAUGAAUGAAUUUGAUGUCAGAAUGAGUUUGUGCAAACAUAGGUUCUGCUAGCGAGCUACACUCAAGGCAAGAACAACUCCAAGUCAUGUCACAGAUUUAAUUAAUUGACACUGAAUGAAUUUAUUGUCAAAAUGUGUUUGUACAAACAUGAGUUCUGCUAACGAGCUACACUCAAGGCAAGAACAACUUCGAGUCAUUUUAGGAGUUAGGGGUUACUCUAGUAGGGCCAAAAUAAAUCCAAUAAGAGUAACAAUAGAGAUAAUUAAUGUGGAUUUGGAAGCCUAAUCAUCAUGGCUCAAUAGCCUUUGCAAAAUACAAAAUGUAUACCAUCAAGGUGGAGUCAAAUAGAUAUGGUUGCAGAUCGAUGUUCCAGGUACCAGGUAUAUGUUAAUCACUUGCAGCCAUUUAAAUGAAUGGUCUGCUGUCAAACAUGGCACUACCAUGUGGAUAAUUGACAUUUAAACAAAGCUCAUGAGAUCCAUGGGCAACUCAAUCCAUGAUUAAAAACAGAAGGAAGAUAAACACAAGGGCGACCAUCUGCCAGUGACAAGAGAACUCGCUCUUGGUUACCUGUAACCAUAUAAGGAAUAUAAUUUAUUCAUCAUUUUUCUAAGUUUUCAAUCUCAUGAAUAUUAUGUGUGUACCUUUCUAGGUCCCAAACUAAAGAACCGUCAAACAAGAAUCAGGUUAUUCUUUUUUCUCUCUUUUUUUUUUCAUUUUUUCUGUAAAAAGGACACUAGACAAGUACACAUGAACAUGAACAAAAAAGGCAAAAGGCUAUUCUAUCCAAAGACUUUUCUGGAUAUAUUUGAAGGUAAUAAGCUAAAAUUUUAAACACUACAGUAUUGCAAGUGUUAGUUUGAUUUCUCAAACAAUCAGAGUGAUAUUUGAGAAUGACUAAAUUCAUUUAGUGCAUAAAGGCAAUAGUCAUUAAGCCUGCAACGAACAAAAGUUAAUAUACGACAAAUGAACGAUGCAAAGAAUUAGAUCGUCUGAAAAGGCAAAAAAUCCUCAUGACUUUAAAAGCACAAGUCAAAAAUUAACCAUCAUUAAUGGUAAGAUCUUAAGAAUAUUGUUGAUGUUCUAACAAAUUAACGUAUACUUAAAGAAGAGUAAGCAAAUAUUGGUGACACAAAGCAAGAUGAAAGAACAUGAAGUUCGUGUCUUCAGUGAAAAAUCACCCAAUUCAUCAAGUCUUCAAGUCAUAAGUUCCUUGCAAGUUAAGCACACACAACAGUCGUCUAAAACUAUGAAUGUGAUCACCAAGGUCCGAAAACUAAGUAGGCAACCCGGAAGUAGUAACUCGCCGUGUAUAAACAAGGCUAAGGACAGUGGCCCGAAAGCUCAAAACUCGGCAAAUAAGCCUAGUCAAGAAGCAAGAACAAUCUCACCUUGCCCAUGAUAUGGUCAAGGAUGCAAAUGAAUGGAUCAGUGUUAAGUCUCUGUCGAUGGCCCUUGUGGACCCUAUGUCCCUCAUCCCCAUGUUUCCUCCACUGUUAAGUCUGUGCCUCUGGGUCAUACUGCCCCAUUCUUGCAAAAGAUUCACCUUGAGACCAGAAACAAGUGCAAUACUAUUUAUUACUGAAAAUUAAAUGGCCGAACACAUAACCUUCUAAAGACCAACCUUACCAGUGAUUCAUCAUAGCUAGCUAAACACAAGUUCAUCUAAGAAGCGAACAUAUCGACAAACUCAUGAAUCGGCAAUUACCAGAGACUUUACUUUACGUCUAGAUGAAAAAUGAAAUGUCAUCCAACAUCGGGGAAAAAAUGCAGCGUUGCCGACAAUAUUUUUGCUCCACUUAAUCUAUCAUAAUGUCGACCAGGAAAUAGACGCAUGAGAUUCCACCAGACGAGAUCAGAUUAAAUACAGAGAAGAAAUGGGUGGAGAUUCGUACCGCUUGUGUACUCAUGCAUAGUUCCCAAAAGCAGGUUACUUUCCUCAUAGGUUAUCUUUUCCAAUGGCACAGAAGAGCCAGGUUACUUUCCUAACAGGUAAUCUUUUUCAUCGCACAAAAGACCCUUUAGAGGAAUGCAUGAGCGAGCAAUUAUUUUGAUGUGAUAGCUUGC